rnacentral:lncRNA from 1 species
UGUUUGUUUACUCACUUCAGUUUCUUCAUUUUAAUGAUCUAUAUAUACUACUGUCAUAAACUGGCUACUACAAUACACAUUUUUGUCACAUUCAUAUUUUUAUCUCCUAAAACUGUUGCUAUAAAACUUCUUCAAACUUGAAUUAAUGUUAAAAAUGUUUUAUCAGUGUUAAAAGUCUUUGAAACAGCAAAUUCCUAUGCUUCAACUUUUGUAUAUUUUUCAAUUGUGUGUACAAUUUAUGUUCACUAUAUUAAUAUCUCCGUACCCAUUCUGACAUAUAUUAUUUUCAUAGAGUUUAUCUCCAUCAGUGCUGAAGUGGGAAAUACAGUAAUACAAAUUAUUUUGUUAAAUCUUUAUUAAUAAAAUUUAUUAAGUAGUUACCAUUAACAAAUUGAGUUAAUUGAUUCCAUAUAUGGCGUUCAAUCGAGUCUUCCGGCAUGAAAACACAUUGAGUUGAUUGAUUCGACAUUUGACGUUCAAUCGUUAUCGAUCGUAUCGAUCGUUACGAUCGAGUCUUCAUCAAAACACAUUGAGUUGAUUGAUUCGACAUUUGACGUUCAAUCGUUAUCGAUCGUAUCGAUCGUUACGAUCGAGUCUUCAUCAAAAUACAUUGAGUUGAUUGAUUCGACAUAUGACGUUCAAUCGUUAUCGAUCGUUAUGAUCGAGUCUUUGUCAUAACAC